CGCUUCGGUGGCCUAAGUGUUUAGAGCGUCCGCCUCAGAUGUGGAAGGUCGCGAGUUCGAACCCCAGCCAAGUCG